GGAUGCGAUCAUACCAGCACUAAAGCACCGGAUCCCAUCAGAACUCCGAAGUUAAGUGUGCUUGGGCGAGAGUAGUACUAGGAACAUGCGUACGUGUGCG
rnacentral:rRNA from 1 species